rnacentral:rRNA from 1 species
CAGCCGCCGCGGGAAUACGAAGGGGGCUAGCGUUACUCGGAAUUACUGGGCGUAAAGGGCGCGUAGGCGGCGCUCCAAGUUAGGCGUGAAAGUCCUGGGCUCAACCUGGGAACUGCGCUUAAGACUGGAGUGCUUGAGGAUGGAAGAGGGUUGUGGAAUUCCCAGUGUAGAGGUGAAAUUCGUAGAUAUUGGGAAGAACACCGGUGGCGAAGGCGGCAACCUGGUCCAUUACUGACGCUGAGGCGCGACAGCGUGGGGAGCAAACAGGAUUAGAUACCCCGGUAGUCCCUGUCUCUUAUAC